rnacentral:rRNA from 1 species
GUGGGGCAGAUGAUUGGGGUGAAGUCGUAACAAGGUAUCCCUACCGGAAGGUGGGGAUGGAUCACCUCCUUUCU